UAUAAGUAGUAAUCAAAUUAAAAAUGAAUUUUGAUUUUAAUACUUUCCUAAGUUAAAUUUGAAUUCUUACUGGGCUGCUUAUCCUCAGUUAAGAUCAAAAUCUAUAAAUGGGAAUUUUAACAAGUUGCUUAUUUCUCUUCAGUAAGUCUAACCCAUCCCACCUCCCACUGGAUUCUGUAAUUCUCUUUUUUAUAUGAACCUUUAAAAAUUGGGGAUCUUUGGUAAUAGAAUCUGGAUUUGUCUCAUGUUCAGAACAUAGAGAAUGUUAGAGUUUGAUAGUCUAUGUAGUUCUGUAUAUUGUAGUAGCCAUUCUUUAGAAAAUGGUGUUAUUUCAAAAAGGUUCAGAAAAUGUUUAAGUGCAGUAACAAAAGUACGAAACAGUUCAACUAACAUGACAUUUAUUGAGCACCUGCUUUGUUCUAGGGCUUGGGGGGUAGUCCCUGACCCCAACAGGUUUAAAAGAUGGUAGGAAGAAACACAUAAUACAGGUAUAGUAAAAGGUAAAAUAUGUUUAAACCGUGAUUUUCAAACUUGUUCCAUUGUCAGAACACUUAGAAGUCAUGGUACUCUUUGCACAACACCCUGAAAUAUAUUUUAAUUAUAUCAUAUGAUUUUUUUGCUAGGACAUCUUUUAGAACAAAUAAUGGAAGGGAGCCUGUAAUUGAAGAGAUUCUAUUUAGUAUCUUAGGUUUUUUCCCCCCCUACAAACUGGGAAAACAUAAUCACUUUUGGAUUUUAGGUGAUAAAUCUUGGUUCAGCUCAUGAAUGACCAUGUUCCAAGAAACAUACUUUGAGGACUACUGUGAUGAGCUAUAUUAUAGAGUGCAGAGGAAGGAUAACUAUUGGGAGUGGGUAGCUGGGAUUAAAAAUAUUUUGUUAGAUUUUAUUCAAGAGAUUAUAGUUUUUGAGCUAGGUUUUUAAGAGUGUGUAGCAUAAUGAUAGGUGAAGAUGUGUAGUUCAUUGAACAAUUAUUUGAACUAUUAUGUGCUAGAUAAUAUAUAAAGCCUUGUAGAUACAAUGACAAACAGGACCUUGUCCCUUCAAGGUGAUAGGUAAACAGAAACACCUAAUUGAAAGUAUGGAGGCAGGAGAGUACAGAGUAGUCCAGGGAAAUGGUUUAUACCCAGUGGUUAGAAUAUAGGAUGAUGAGAACAUGUAGUGGCAGCUAAGUCUAAAAAGAUGGUCUGGGACCAAUUAUAAAGUACCAUGAAUGCUUGCUAGGGAAUUUAGAAUCUAGGCACUGUAGAUCCAUCAAAGGUUGUUACUAAGGGAGUAAUGUGAUGAUAUUACUAGUAAUAUUUUGAGGCUUGAAGGCAGAACUGAAAGGACAAUGAAGGAAGAAAACCAAUUAAAGAUUAUUGAGUUAAUUCUAAUAAAGAGAAUAAGCAGUAGGAAUGGAAAGGUGGGCGGGGAUACAAAAGAUGUAAAUUCAACAGGCAUAAUGGUAAAUGGCAAACUGUUGAAUGUGGAGUGUUAAGGAGUGGAUGAUGUCCAAAAUGAAUUGGAACAUUUGAGCCCAGAUGAUGGUGAUGCUUAGGGGACCUGAGAGGAGGCAUUCAUUUGAAGAUAUCCCUCUGAGAAUUAUAAGAGUGCAUAUGGAGGCCAGCAUAGUGACAAAGGCUAGACAUGUUUGAUUAGAGGGUAGCUUACUGAGGGAUGAUAAGGAAAUAAGAGUAAAUGAGAUUGCCUAGGACAGAGUCUAGUAAAAAUACAAGGGAGCCAAGGGCAAAACUUUGUGUGAAGAUUGAGUAUCUUUGAACUGGAAAGAAAAAACUUUAGGAUUAUGAUUAAAAUAUGUAUAGUGUAUAUUAAAAGCUGAAAUGCUUAAUUUAGAAAAGGUAGUUAAUGAAGGUGAAAAGAAUUUAUUCUGGAAUAAGUAAAAGGUAUUAUUUGAAAUAUGCUGAAUUUACAGAUUAUUAUUUAAAGAGAUUGUUCUUCCAUUUGAAAAUAUUAAUUUGAGAAUGAUUUAGAAUUAAGACAAUAAAAAUGUCCUAAUAGAUUCUAAUGUAUUUUGCCUUAUAGUUUGUUUCUCCUUGUAUUUGUGCUCUUGUAUUUAUUUUUAUUUCUCGGAAGAACACUAGAGCAGGGAGGAAGAAUCAUAUCUUGGUGAGAAGAUGUCAUUCAUUUCAUAGUUGUAUUUUAGCUUUCAAACCAUCUUCAGGUUGUCCCUGUUAGAUGAGAGUUGCCUAGAACAAAUAAUAGCCAUUUUCAUUUCCCAGGAACUUGUAUAAUAAUAUGAGUCUUAAAAUUCAUAUUAAGUUACCAGAAUUUUUUUUUUUUUUAAUUGGGAAAGGCUAAUAAGCCCCAGUGGUAAUAUCAGUCACCAAACCCUUUGUUAUAUUGUCUUCCACCUGAGACCUGUGAAUGUUCCGGGAAUGAGCAUGCAUUAAAAUCAGAAUGUUAAGUGUGUACACUUUGAAAAAAAAUUUGGGAAAACCAAGAAAAUGAUAAUAGUCAUUGCUGAUAAGUAGAAAGAUCUUAGUCAUUUUUCAUUUUCUUCUUUUAACUUUUUUGUAUGUCCUAGAUUUUCUACAAUAAACAUAUUUUAUAGUAAAAAAAAGUAUUUUAUUGAAAGGAAGUUAAUAUUUACAAUUUUGAAUAAGCCAUGUAUGUUAAAAAUUGAACACAGACACCGUACCCUCCCUUGAGAGAUGGACACAGUGUUCAAAAGCAUAAUAGAAGGUAGUAUUUGGUUAAUGUGGUAAGACAGGUACAGUUCAUUCUUUUUUGCAUAUCUUUACAAUGCUUAUUAUUUGAUAGGCACUAUAGGGAGAUUCAAAGAUGAAUAUGGAGACACAAGUGGAUAAACCAAGUUGAUGUAGAGGUUACUUCAGGCAACAAGAAUAGUAUAUCUAAAAGUGCAAAGGCAAAAAGAAGCCACUGUAUGUAGCUAGGGAAUGGCCAGCAGUUUAGUUUGGCUAGAGUGUAAUUAUAUAUAGAAAAGUAGUGA